UAGGGAAUCUUCCACAAUGGACGCAAGUCUGAUGGAGCAACGCCGCGUGAGUGAAGAAGGUUUUCGGACCGUAAAGCUCUGUUGUUGGUGAAGAAGGAUAGAGGUAGUAACUGGCCCUUUAUUUGACGGUAAUCAACCAGAAAGUCACGGCUAACUACGUGCCAGCAGCCGCGGUAAUACGUAGGUGGCAAGCGUUGUCCGGAUUUAUUGGGCGUAAAGCGAGCGCAGGCGGAAGAAUAAGUCUGAUGUGAAAGCCCUCGGCUUAACCGAGGAAUUGCAUCGGAAACUGUUUUCUUGAGUGCAGAAGAGGAGAGUAGAACUCCAUGUGUAGCGGUGGAAUGCGUAGAUAUAUGGAAGAAUACCAGUGGCGAAGGCGGCUCUCUGGUCUGCAACUGACGCUGAGGCUCGAAAGCAUGGGUAGCGAACAGGAUUAGAUACCCUGGUAGUCCAUGCCGUAAACGAUGAGUGCUAAGUGUUGGGAGGCUUCCGCCUCUCAGUGCUGCAGCUAACGCAUUAAGCACUCCGCCUGGGGGAGUACGACCGCAAGGUUGAAACU
rnacentral:rRNA from 1 species